ensembl:lncRNA
AUGAGGAAGUCACUUGUUGGUCAAACCCAGCAGCACAGCGUACAGUACUACUGCCAUGUGUUGGAGAUAGAGAGUCCUCUGACCUCUCCUCUUCUGCCUCCACUAGCCCUGUCUUCUACCUCAACCCAGCAGCACAGCGUACAGUACUACUGCCAUGUGUUGGAGAUAGAGAGUCCCCUUGACCUCUCCUCUUCUGCCUCCACUAGCCCUGGCUUCUACCUCAACCCAGCAGCACAGCAUACAGUACUACUGCCAUGUGUUGGAGAUAGAGAGUCCCCUGACCUCUCCUCUUCUGCCUCCACUAGCCCUGGCUUCUACCUCAACCCAGCAGCACAGCAUACAGUACUACUGCCAUGUGUUGGAGAUAGAGAGUCCCCUGACCUCUCCUCUUCUGCCUCCACUAGCCCUGGCUUCUACCUCAACCCAGCAGCACAGUGUACAGUACUACUGCCAUGUGUUGGAGAUAGAGAGAGUCCCCUGACCUCUCCUCUUCUGCCUCCACUAGCCCUGGCUUCUACCUCAACUCCACUUUCACUUUACCCACCUUAAAUGGCAUAGGGCCCAGUCACAACUACUACUGUAAAGACUACGUCCAAAAUGGUACCCUAUUCUCUAUUUAGUGCACUACUUUUGACCAGGGUCCAUAGGACGCUGGUCAAAAGUAGUGCGCUAUAUAGGGAAUAGGGUGUCAUUUGGGGGACACAGCCUAAGACUGCCCCACUGACAGUAGACACACAUUAUGCCUGGUUAGUAAACUAUAAAACACCACAAUCUGGUUUUCACUCUUUUGAGACAUUCACACAAAUACCGUUUCUCACUGACUGACUUUCUCUUCUCUAUUCCUAUCCGUCUACCGCCUUCCUCCCCUCUCUUUCACCACCAACACGAGGCUUGUAUACCGUGCUGCCUGGUGUCGGACACACUCAAGGCUUCGUGGACAGGCCGUCAGUAAAGAUAGCCUGAUUGUUGUAGUGGGUCUAAUGAUAGGCUCAGUGUUAGCUAGAGAGCUCUGGCAUACUGAAUGAAUGGUUCUAGCAUCUGAAACGUGUCCCCCGAACACUAGAACAAACGGAACAGUCAAGCAUUCCGUUCCUAACAGACCCUUUAUUUUAAAUGUUAAGGUAACCCUGGUUCAGCCUCACUCUGUUGUUCUGUUGUCUGCGUUCCUUUGUCUGUUUCAAAUACAGAGUUUGUCCAAGCUUCACCAUCAGAUCCAGUCCUACUCUCUGCAGAGUCUAGGACUAAGUUAGUCUUCCGCCCCCCCAAAUCAAAAUGUAUUUAACCCCAAUACUAAAACAAUAAAUGGCACAAAGAAACAAAAACCCCACAGCCCACCUUCCCCCGUCUCCCCUUCCCAGUGUACCUUUGACUUUUGUACCCACAGAGCCAGUAAAGCACUUCAAUGUAGCAGAAAUCAACAGCACUUCCGUUACUCCAUCAUGUCAAAGAAACUGUUCAAAAUAAUAAGCAAAAUAAAUAAUGGAAGGCACUAGAAACUCUAGCAGAGCUCUCACUGGAGUACUGGGGGGCGAAAGGACACGGAAAAGACCAAGGGUGAGUCCUACAUCGCACCUUAUCCCCUAUAUAGUGCACUACUUUUGACCAGAGCCCCAUGGGCCCUGAUCGAGGUCUUAUCGGCUCCUGGUGAAAGGUUGAACACCGUGUAAGGGAUAGGGUGUUAUUUGGCACUCAACCCCAAGUUACUAUUCAAGUACGUUAAUUGAGUCCAUUUAACAUUCACAUUUAUCUAAUAUAAAGAAAGUAGAAAGAGAAGAAAGGUUAAAGUGACCUCGAUAAGUACUGGAUAAGGAAAAUAGCUAGCCUUUUAUUUUGUUAUUUUGUUCAGCCUAAGUAUUACCAUUCCACCAUAACGUUUCCUCCAACUGUCUUUUUGUUGGUAUUUUUCUGUCUUUUUUCUUCUUAAACUCAUGUUGUCCAACAACAUUUAUAAUAAUCACAGUGUUUCAACAUCAGAAACUGAUGGGUAAAUACAGGUCCAUACAGAACACUGGUCUUUUUUUCAUUUCUUGUUUUUUUAAAUAGAAUAAUAAUGUACAUUUUUGUUUUCAAUCACACUAUUGAAAAGACUCAGAAGUAGAGAGAGAUCGAGGCCCCUAACGCUGUCAACAUCAUGAUUAUAAAAGGGUUUAUGUUACUAAUAGAUCAUAGGUUUGAAAGCUUCACAAGCCCUCAAGGACAGACGGCGUUGUGUUGCUGGAGAUCCAAGGCAUUACUUUUCAUCCACCAUGCAGCCUACCACCAAGCCCAGCCCACGUCCAGUCCUCUCCUUGCCCCACCGAGACCUGUCCGUCUCUGGGUCCAUGCAGGACCAACACCAACCUACCUCACAACCGUGAAAACAAUAUCAUGUGUGACACAGAGAGCCAACAGGACAUACCUCCUUCCGUUCACCCUGCAUUCCCUCUCAGAGCUAAACCACCUGUGAAAAAGAAGACUAUUGAGUUGAGUCUGAGAGAAUCUACUUCAGUCAACAACUCCUGUCUGAGAGAAUCUACUUCAGUCCUGUCUGUGUUAGUUCAGGGGGGCUCUCUCAUUAGGGAUAUGUAGAUGGGAACUACGAGCCAGCUUGUACAGACUUUAUGCUUCAGGAUGGGGAUCUCAUCAGCCUCCCAGAUACAGCACAUUUUAAAAUGGAGUAACUAUAAGCCUGAAGUUAAGACUGGGAUAGAUGGGUCUCACACACACUACUCCCCUCCAAUCAUGUAAAGAGAUGGUUAGCAUGGUUAGAGGGGAGUUGUAGUUUCUUUAAAGGCCCUAUAUACUGGGAGAUGUAGUUUCUUUAAAGGCCCUAUACUGAGAGAGAGUUCCUGGAUAGGAGGGUCAACCCUAGCGUUAACCCUUUCAUCAUGCUACAGAAGAGUCUCCUCAGUUCAAUGGGGACAGAGGAAAAUAAUUAAAACACUAAUCAAACAUGGAAUCAUCAUAAUCCCAAAUUCUUAAAAAAAUCAUACAAAAAUGACAUUCUGAAUCUGGUCAUGGAUUGUUUUCCUAAUGAAGGUCACUUUAUGUGUUAUUAUUAUAUUAAGGAGGAGGUUUCUAUCACGGUGUUCUUAUUGCAUCCCAUGGCAACAGGAGGGGUAGAGCAGGGUAUGAACCCCCAGGCCUUUUCUACUGACUCUCCACUUACACACACCAAUGAACAUCCUAAAUGAUAUAUAGGAAUAGCAGUACAUGUGGUUCCGGAUGUCAACACUGCCUGACCAGCUACAUACGUGGCACCAGUCCCACACCUCAGCCUCACAAACUCAUUCCUUGACCCCAUAACCUUCCUCACAUCUCCUCAACAUGCUACACAACUCUACCAUAAUGGACUUCUACUGGAGCUGUAUAGUACUGUACAGUCACUUAAAGCUCUGUUCUGGAGGUCAGUUACCAGCAGGAGGAGCUGUAUAGUACUGUACAGUCACUUAAAGCUCUGUUCUGGAGGUCAGUUACCAGCAGGAGGAGCUGUAUAGUACUGUACAGUCACUUAAAGCUCUGUUCUGGAGGUCAGUUACCAACAGGAGGAGCUGUAUAGUACUGUACAGUCACUUAAAGCUCUGUUCUGGAGGUCAGUUACCAGCAGGAGGAGCUGUAUAGUACUGUACAGUCACUUAAAGCUCUGUUCUGGAGGUCAGUUACCAACAGGAGGAGCUGUAUAGUACUGUACGGUCACAUAAAGCUCUGUUCUGGAGGUCAGUUACCAGCAGGAGGAGCUGUAUAGUACUGUACGGUCACUUAAAGCUCUGUUCUGGAGGUCAGUUACCAGCAGGAGGAGCUGUAUAGUACUGUACAGUCACUUAAAGCUCUGUUCUGGAGGUCAGUUACCAGCAGGAGGAGCUGUAUAGUACUGUACAGUCACUUAAAGCUCUGUUCUGGAGGUCAGUUACCAGCAGGAGGAGCUGUAUAGUACUGUACAGUCACUUAAAGCUCUGUUCUGGAGGUCAGUUACCAGCAGGAGGAGCUGAACAGGCAGGGAGGGGGGAGGGAGGGGGGGUCAGAUAGGUG